rnacentral:rRNA from 1 species
CCUACGGGCGGCAGCAGUGAGGAAUAUUGGUCAAUGGGCGAAAGCCUGAACCAGCCAAGUCGCGUGAGGGAUGACGGCCCUAUGGAUUGUAAACUUCUUUUGUCAGGGAGCAAGGGGCUCCACGCGUGGCCGGAGCGAGAGUACCCGAAGAAAAAGCAUCGGCUAACUCCGUGCCAGCAGCCGCGGUAAUACGGAGGAUGCGAGCGUUAUCCGGAUUUAUUGGGUUUAAAGGGUGCGUAGGCGGAAGGUUAAGUCAGCGGUAAAAAGUCGGGGCUCAACCCCGUCGUGCCGUUGAAACUGGUGUUCUUGAGUGAGCGAGAAGUAUGCGGAAUGCGUGGUGUAGCGGUGAAAUGCAUAGAUAUCACGCAGAACUCCGAUUGCGAAGGCAGCAUACCGGCGCUCAACUGACGCUGAUGCACGAAAGCGUGGGUAUCGAACAGGAUUAGAUACCCCAGUAGUC